CCUACGGGUGGCAGCAGUGAGGAAUAUUGGUCAAUGGACGAGAGUCUGAACCAGCCAAGUAGCGUGAAGGAUGACUGCCCUAUGGGUUGUAAACUUCUUUUAUAUGGGAAUAAAACGUUCCACGUGUGGGAUUUUGUAUGUACCAUAUGAAUAAGGAUCGGCUAACUCCGUGCCAGCAGCCGCGGUAAUACGGAGGAUCCGAGCGUUAUCCGGAUUUAUUGGGUUUAAAGGGAGCGUAGGUGGAAUGUUAAGGCGGUUGUGAAAGUUUGCGGCUCAACCGUAAAAUUGCAGUUGAAACUGGCCGUCUUGAGUACAGUAGAGGUGGGCGGAAGUCGGGGUGUAGCGGUGAAAGGCGUAGAUAUAAGGAAGAACACCAGGGGCGAAGGCGGAUGACGGGACGGCAACGGACGGUGAGGCGCGAAAGCGUGGGGAGCAAACAGGAUUAGAUACCCUAGUAGUC
rnacentral:rRNA from 1 species